CUCCAUAGGUUACAUUAAACCACAUAAUAACAACAACAACAACCUUCAUAAAAAAACAGAAAUCAAUCAGAUUCAUUUACGCAACUUGGAAGUACAGUUGAUGUUCACUUAACCAUGCAGUGUUGACUUUACCGGAAGAAUAUUCAAAAUGCUUUGUGCGAAGAUGACCACGCAUCCAAGAAAUUGAAGCAUAAGACCUGUCACAUUCAUCACAUUGAUACCAUGUCUUCUUAUGUGUCUUUGUAUCAUUUAUCUCUGUAUACCUACUAGACUUGAUAGAUUUAGAUUUUGGUUCCUGUUCUUCUUCAAAGUCACUAUCACUAAAACAGUAUUCACUUUCUGUAAAAUCACCUAAUACCAUUUCAAGCUUCUCAAUAUCUGAGAAAUUAACCUGAGAUUGUACAUAAAAACUAAUGAACAUUAUAAUUAAGGUUACAUUAACAAGAUAAUUGUUAUUGUUUGAAUUUGUAGUGCAAUACCGAAAAAUGAAAAUGGCGUGAAAACAGUCAAUGUCGGAACAAUUUAAAGUACGCAUGCUAAUUAUCAUGAUUAAAGCAAUUUCUAAAUUUAUUGCAAAGAUCUAUCGUGAUUGUACUUGUUUGUCAAAUAAAGCGGACUAUCAAAGGUCAA